GAAUUCGCCCUUAGAGUUUGAUCCUGGCUCAGGAUGAACGCUGGCGGCGUGCUUAACACAUGCAAGUCGAACGAAACACCUUAUUUAAUUUUCUUCGGAACUGAAGAUUUGGUGAUUGAGUGGCGGACGGGUGAGUAACGCGUGGGUAACCUACCCUGUACAGGGGGAUAACAGUCAGAAAUGACUGCUAAUACCGCAUAAGACCACAGCAUCGCAUGGUGCAGGGGUAAAAACUCCGGUGGUACAGGAUGGACCCGCGUCUGAUUAGCUGGUUGGUGAGGUAACGGCUCACCAAGGCGACGAUCAGUAGCCGGCUUGAGAGAGUGAACGGCCACAUUGGGACUGAGACACGGCCCAAACUCCUACGGGAGGCAGCAGUGGGGAAUAUUGCACAAUGGGGGAAACCCUGAUGCAGCGACGCCGCGUGAGUGAAGAAGUAUCUCGGUAUGUAAAGCUCUAUCAGCAGGGAAGAAAAUGACGGUACCUGACUAAGAAGCCCCGGCUAACUACGUGCCAGCAGCCGCGGUAAUACGUAGGGGGCAAGCGUUAUCCGGAUUCAUUGGGCGUAAAGCGCGCGUAGGCGGCCCGGCAGGCCGGGGGUCGAAGCGGGGGGCUCAACCCCCCGAAGCCCCCGGAACCUCCGCGGCUUGGGUCCGGUAGGGGAGGGUGGAACACCCGGUGUAGCGGUGGAAUGCGCAGAUAUCGGGUGGAACACCGGUGGCGAAGGCGGCCCUCUGGGCCGAGACCGACGCUGAGGCGCGAAAGCUGGGGGAGCGAACAGGAUUAGAUACCCUGGUAGUCCCAGCCGUAAACGAUGGACGCUAGGUGUGGGGGGACGAUCCCCCCGUGCCGCAGCCAACGCAUUAAGCGUCCCGCCUGGCGAGUACGGCCGCAAGGCUAAAACUCAAAGGAAUUGACGGGGGCCCGCACAAGCAGCGGAGCAUGUGGCUUAAUUCGAAGCAACGCGAAGAACCUUACCAGGGCUUGACAUAUGGGUGAAGCGGGGGAGACCCCGUGGCCGAGAGGAGCCCAUACAGGUGGUGCAUGGCUGUCGUCAGCUCGUGUCGUGAGAUGUUGGGUUAAGUCCCGCAACGAGCGCAACCCCCGCCGCGUGUUGCCAUCGGGUGAUGCCGGGAACCCACGCGGGACCGCCGCCGUCAAGGCGGAGGAGGGCGGGGACGACGUCAAGUCAUCAUGCCCCUUAUGCCCUGGGCUGCACACGUGCUACAAUGGCCGGUACAGAGGGAUGCCACCCCGCGAGGGGGAGCGGAUCCCGGAAAGCCGGCCCCAGUUCGGAUUGGGGGCUGCAACCCGCCCCCAUGAAGUCGGAGUUGCUAGUAAUCGCGGAUCAGCAUGCCGCGGUGAAUGCGUUCCCGGGCCUUGUACACACCGCCCGUCA
rnacentral:rRNA from 1 species